rnacentral:rRNA from 1 species
ACCGCUAAUGGGAGGAACAGGGUGGAAGGCGGGACGAGCACGGACCACCAUGGCCGACCUCCCUCGAGGACGGACACGGAUCAGGUCAACGACGGCGGCGUGGAUAUGGGCGCGCGAACGAUCUCCCUGGUCGGCCUUUCCUUCCCUUCCCUUGGGAGAGCAAUUGAAGGUGGGGGCGGCGUCACUGGGGGGGAGGAGGAGAUCGCCGGCGGCUGGGUUUGGAUCGUGAUCUGGAUCGGGAUCGGGGUCGCGAG